GCUAACCAGCCCUGGGUUGUAGCUUGGGCCAAUAAUAGAUCAACAAGUGUCAAUAUAAAAAUAAAAAUAAAAAAAAAUUAAUGCGAUUGAAAUAGUUAACCAGCCUUGUUCCUUCCAAACUGUAAACUCUUCUGCAUUCUUCAGUAAAAAUUUCUUCAGCAAAAUUCAUGAGAAUUCGAAGCACGCUAUGAGGAUGAGCGACAAAAAGUGAUCAAUUCUAGGAUGGGAGAUUGGAACUUGGGACCUCGGAUGGAGGGUGAAUGCUGAGUAGCGAAAAAUCACAGUAUGAUGAAGACUAAUGGGGUUGCUUUCUUUGCUGUCUAUGGAAGAAGAUUCAGUCAACAGCUGAUAUUUUGAAGUUUAAGUUAUUUUGGUUUUUGGUAUGGUAUCAUGGGAAGAUGUCAAUAUUCCUGACAUUGUUGGACAACUGACUGGCGGUUAGAGUACCAAGCAGAAUGUUAACUUGGUUGAAAAAAUC